ensembl:snRNA U4 U4 spliceosomal RNA
CACCCUGCACAGUAGUAGUAUCAUAGUCAAUGAGGUUUAUCUGAGGCACAAUUAUUGCUAAUUGAAAUCUUUUCACAAUAUUCCUGCCAUGAUGACUUGAAAUAUAGUCAUAUAUUUCAAGUAUUGGCAAUUAUUGACAGUCUUUAUGGAGA